rnacentral:rRNA from 1 species
AUUGAACGCUGGCGGCAGGCUUAACACAUGCAAGUCGAGCGGAGAUGAGGUGCUUGCACCUUAUCUUAGCGGCGGACGGGUGAGUAAUGCUUAGGAAUCUGCCUAUUAGUGGGGGACAACAUUCCGAAAGGAAUGCUAAUACCGCAUACGCCCUACGGGGGAAAGCAGGGGAUCUUCGGACCUUGCGCUAAUAGAUGAGCCUAGGUCGGAUUAGCUAGUUGGUGGGGUAAAGGCCUACCAAGGCGACGAUCUGUAGCGGGUCUGAGAGGAUAAUCCGCCACACUGGGACUGAGACACGGCCCAGACCCCUACGGGAGGCAGCAGUGGGGAAUAUUGGACAAUGGGCGGAAGCCUGAUCCAGCCAUGCCGCGUGUGUGAAGAAGGCCUUUUGGUUGUAAAGCACUUUAAGCGAGGAGGAGGCUACCUGGAUUAAUACUCUAGGAUAGUGGACGUUACUCGCAGAAUAAGCACCGGCUAACUCUGUGCCAGCAGCCGCCGUAACAC